AUCAUUACUGAGUGGCGUGGCGGGGCGGUUUUUCGGAGACGAGAGACGUCCUGUCCAGGUUACCCGACCUUUUGUCAUUUGCUGGUUGGGGUGUGGGGGGUGGAGUUCCGGAAGAGGCUUAGUCUGAUGUCUUCGGAUGGACGACAUGUCUCGGAGGGAGGUUCGCCUUGCGCACGCCGACACCAUAUUUCGGCGGAAGAGGUGGUCGUCGAGCUGCCCGCCGCCGGUGGUAUCCUUUACUCUUUUYUUUUUUUUUUUGAGAAUGUUGAAGCAGUCUGAGAAAAACCCAUAAUGAAAAGCAAAACUUUCAACAACGGAUCUCUUGGCUCUGGCAACGAUGAAGAACGCAGCGAAACGCGAAAGGUAAUGCGAAUUGCAGAAUCAGUGAGUCAUCGAAUCUUUGAACGCACAUUGCGCCUCUUGGUAUUCCAGGAGGCACGCCUGUUCGAGCGCCAUUACAAACUCCAAGCUGUGGCUUGAUGUUGGAUGCUGUCUUUUUGGUGAAAGGAGAGACACAUCUGGAACGUGUGGGCGCCGCCGCCAGACCACGAGCGUAGCAAGACGAAAGUCAGUCGUUCGAUUUGGAUCUGUCUGUGGUUGUCUGUCUGUCGGGGUCUGUUCUUUGGAAUUCUGAAGAACAGGCGACGUACAACACCCAAAGUUGGCCUCGAUCAGGCGGGUCU
rnacentral:rRNA from 1 species